AUUGAACGCUGGCGGCAGGCCUAACACAUGCAAGUCGAACGGGUGGCGGGCGGGUGAGUAAGGUCUGGGAAACGGCCCGAUGGAGGAGGAUACCAACUGGAAACGGUAGCUACUAACGCCUACCAUCAGAUGUGCCCGGAUGGGAUUAGCUUGUUGGGGGGGUAACGGCUCACCAAGGCGACGAUCCCUAGCUGGUCGGAGAGGAGGACCAGCCACACGGGAACUGAGACACGGUCCAGACUCCUACGGGAGGCAGCAGUGGGGAAUAUUGGACAAUGGGGGAAAGCCUGAUGCAGCCAUGCCGCGUGUAUGAAGAAGGCCUUCGGGUUGUAAAGUACUUUCAGCGGGGAGGCGUUACCCGCAGAAGAAGCACCGGCUAACUCCGUGCCAGCAGCCGCGGUAAUAC
rnacentral:rRNA from 1 species